UGGGGCGUCGCCAAGCGGUAAGGCACCGGAUUUUGAUUCCGGCAUUCGCAGGUUCGAUUCCUGCCGCCCCAGCCA
rnacentral:tRNA from 1 species